rnacentral:rRNA from 1 species
CAGCAGCCACGGUAAUACGGAGGGUGCAAGCGUUAAUCGGAAUUACUGGGCGUAAAGCGCACGCAGGCGGUCUGUCAAGUCGGAUGUGAAAUCCCCGGGCUCAACCUGGGAACUGCAUCCGAAACUGGCAGGCUAGAGUCUUGUAGAGGGGGGUAGAAUUCCAGGUGUAGCGGUGAAAUGCGUAGAGAUCUGGAGGAAUACCGGUGGCGAAGGCGGCCCCCUGGACAAAGACUGACGCUCAGGUGCGAAAGCGUGGGGAGCAAACAGGAUUAGAUACCCCAGUAGUCCCUGUCUCUUAUAC